rnacentral:rRNA from 1 species
AAUAGAUACCCUGGUAGUCCAUCGCCGUAAACGUUGGGCACUAGGUGUGGGGGACAUUCCGACGUUUUCCGCGCCGUAGCUAACGCAUUAAGUGCCCCGCCUGGGGAGUACGGCCGCAAGGCUAAAACUCAAAGGAAUUGACGGGGGCCCGCACAAGCGGCGGAGCAUGCGGAUUAAUUCGAUGCAACGCGAAGAACCUUACCAAGGCUUGACAUGUGCCAGACCGCCUCAGAGAUGGGGUUUCCCUUCGGGGCUGGUUCACAGGUGGUGCAUGGUUGUCGUCAGCUCGUGUCGUGAGAUGUUGGGUUAAGUCCCGCAACGAGCGCAACCCUCGUUCCAUGUUGCCAGCACGUAGUGGUGGGGACUCAUGGGAGACUGCCGGGGUCAACUCGGAGGAAGGUGGGGAUGACGUCAAAUCAUCAUGCCCCUUAUGUCUUGGGCUUCACGCAUGCUACAAUGGCCGGUACAAUGGGUUGCGAUACUGUGAGGUGGAGCUAAUCCCUAAAAGCCGGUCUCAGUUCGGAUUGGGGUCUGCUAACCG